rnacentral:rRNA from 1 species
GAGCGCUGUAGCAAUACAGAGCGGCGCACGGGAGAGUAACGCGUGGGAACCUACCUUUUGGUUCGGAAUAACACCGGGAAACUGGUGCUAAUACCGGAUAAGCCCCUCGGGGGAAAGAUUUAUCGCCGAAAGAUGGGCCCGCGUUGGAUUAGCUAGUUGGUGAGGUAAUGGCUCACCAAGGCUACGAUCCAUAGCUGGUCUGAGAGGAUGAUCAGCCUCACUGGGACUGAGACACGGCCCAGACUCCUACGGGAGGCAGCAGUGGGGAAUAUUGGACAAUGGGGGCAACCCUGAUCCAGCCAUGCCGCGUGAAUGAUGAAGGCCUUCGGGUUGUAAAGUUCUUUUGACGGGGACGAUGAUGACGGUACCCGUAGAAUAAGCUCCGGCUAACUUCGUG